CGCCGACUCCGGGCCUUAGCAACUGUUGCCAAGCGUCUCCGGGGUUGAAGGGGAGGCGGCGGGAACCGAGUGCGCUAGGGUGGGACCGGGGCAGCGAGCCGGACCGCUGGAGAUGAGGAGAGAGGGCGAGUGACAUCCAGCAAACAAGAGGCAGAACCGGUAUUCUAAUGCCUCCCAGCUGGAGACCAACCAUGGCAUCACCACCAGCUAACCCUAACCCUUUUAGUGAAUAGGGAAAGAACUCCAUAAAGAACAGUGGCUGGUCCAAAGACGCAGAACUCUUGAGAGCCAGGAAGCAGAAGUAAAGACUCCAAGACUAGGCUGGGCACAGUGGCAAACGCCUGUGAUCCCAGCAGCUUGGGAGUCUGAGGCAGGAGGACUGACAGUUCAAAGCCAGCGUCAGCAAUGGCGAGGCGAUAAGCAACUCAGUGACUGCAGUGUCGCUAAAUAAAAUAUAAAAUAGG